UACGGAGGGGACUAGCGUUGUUCGGAAUUACUGGGCUUAAAGCGCACGUAGGCGGCAUCGUAAGUGUCCGGUGAAAUCCCACGGCUCACCCGUGGAACUGCCUGGCAGACUGCGAUGCUCGAGUGUGGUAGGGGAGAGCGGAACUCCUGGUGGAGCGGUGAAAUGCGUAGAUAUCAGGAGGAACACCGGUGGCGAAGGCGGCUCUCUGGUCCACAACUGACGCUGAGGUGCGAAAGCUAGGGGAGCAAACGGG
rnacentral:rRNA from 1 species